UUGACCUCAAAUCAGGUAGGACUACCCGCUGAACUUAAGCAUAUCAAUAAGCGGAGGAAAAGAAACCAACAGGGAUUGCCUCAGUAGCGGCGAGUGAAGCGGCAAAAGCUCAAAUUUGAAAUCUGGCGUCUUUGGCGUCCGAGUUGUAAUUUGAAGAAGGUAUCUUUGGGCCCGGCUCUUGUCUAUGUUCCUUGGAACAGGACGUCACAGAGGGUGAGAAUCCCGUGCGAUGAGAUGACCCGGGUCU
rnacentral:rRNA from 1 species